UAUGAGGUGGUCGAUAAAGUCGGUAGAUUGUAAAUCUAUGAAUAAGUAAUACUUUCUCAU
rnacentral:tRNA from 1 species